GAUGAACGCUGGCGGCGUGCCUAAUACAUGCAAGUCGAGCGAACAGACGAGGAGCUUGCUCCUUUGACGUUAGCGGCGGACGGGUGAGUAACACGUAGGUAACCUACCUAUUAGACUUGGAUAAUUUCGGGAAACCGGAGCUACUACCGGCUCAUAUUUCGAACCGCAUGGUUCGAUAGUUAAUGAUGGCUUUGCUAUCACUUUUAGAUGGACUUGCGUCGGAUUAGCUAGUUGGUAAGGUAACGGCCUACCAAGGCAACGAUACGUAGCCGAGCUGAGAGGGUGAUCGGCCACACUGGAACUGAGACACGGUCCAGACUCCUACGGGAGGCAGCAGUGGGGAAUAUUGCGCAAUGGGCGAAAGCCUGACGGAGCAACGCCGCGUGAGUGAUGAAGGUCUUCGGAUCGUAAAACUCUGUUAUUAGGGAAGAACAAACGUGUAAGUAACUGUGCACGUCUUGACGGUACCUAAUCAGAAAGCCACGGCUAACUACGUG
rnacentral:rRNA from 1 species